rnacentral:tRNA from 1 species
GCAUUAAUGGUUUAGUGGUAAAAUUAGCCGUUGCCAGUUCCAUUCCUUCAGGAUGGUAUUGAAUAUCGGCUAGCCCCCGGUUCGAUUCCGGGUUAAUGCA